rnacentral:lncRNA from 1 species
CUUGGCUAUUUGUUAUGUUUACUAACCUUUGGUUAUUUUGUAGGUCCUUUGGUAGUGAAUCACUUGAGUGUUUGCCUCUUAUGGCUUACAUGUUGUACAUAUUGGGAUUGUCUGUCUGUUGUUAUCUGUUAACUGUUGGUUGUUUGUCUGAAUAGAAUACUGAUGGUUUAGCUUUUCUUACAGUGUUUGCCUCUUAUGGCUUACAUGUUGUACAUAUUGGGAUUGUCUGUCUGUUGUUAUCUGUUAACUGUUGGUUGUUUGUCUGAAUAGAAUACUGAUGGUUUAGCUUUUCUUACAGGUACUUUAGCCACUUUAACUCAUUAUUUGAGUUGCUUUGCUUUGCUUGUGGUUGGAAUACCACUUAGGUAAUCUCUUG